AGAUUUCUCUUGUACAAUUUCUCAUUGAAAAUUGCCUUAAAAUAUUUGGAGAAGACAUCACUUCCCUCUUGGGAGAGAACUCAAUGAGUCGUGAUAACAGCGAGCAGGCUGCAGACUCCAGCCUGAAGACUGUGAAAACCCGUUCUUUCAGAGAUAGGGCGUUUUGUCGGGGUUCCAGCACUUCCCAGCACAACCAGUGCACAGCCCCAUCUUCCGCAAAGCCAGGACAGCUCUUUGGAGUUCCCCUCAUGGAUGUGUGUGAUAAAGACAACUUCUCCUUCCCAAUUCUGGAUUUUCUUAGAAAUAUACACGGAAGUAUAUUUUUAUCUGAUCACUAUGACAAAUGGCUCGGUGUUAUUGAUCAAGGCAACGAAGAGGAGAAGAUAACUGCAGCCCAGAGGUAAUGAUGCAAUAAUUACUCUGGUCACAUCUCCAAAAUACAGCCAACAUACUAUUAGGAAAACAUUGGCUUACGUUUUGCAGCUUUGCUCACUAUAAUCAUGACCAAUGCCAAAGAGUUUCCAUUCUUCACACCCAUGGGGGCCAGGUUCAUAAUGGAGACACACUUUAGGGCCAUUAUCG